rnacentral:rRNA from 1 species
UACAGAGGUCCCAAGCGUUGUUCGGAUUUACUGGGCGUAAAGGGUGCGUAGGUGGCGAGGUAAGUUCGAUGUGAAAUCUCCGAGCUCGACUCGGAAAUGGCAUUGAAUACUAUCCCACUUGAGGGUCGGAGGGGAGACUGGAAUUCUCGGUGUAGCAGUGAAAUGCGUAGAUAUCGAGAGGAACACCAGUGGCGAAGGCGAGUCUCUGGACGACUCCUGACACUGAGGCACGAAAGCUGGGGGAGCAAACAGG